rnacentral:rRNA from 1 species
UACGUAGGGGGCAAGCGUUGUCCGGAUUUAUUGGGCGUAAAGAGCGUGUAGGCGGCCGUACAGGUCAGCUGUGAAAACUCGAGGCUCAACCUCGAGACGUCGGUUGAAACCGUACGGCUAGAGUCCGGAAGAGGAGAGUGGAAUUCCCGGUGUAGCGGUGAAAUGCGUAGAGAUCGGAAAGAACACCAACGGCGAAAGCACUCUGCUGGGCCGACACUGACACUGAGAGACGAAAGCUAGGGGAGCGAAUGGG